rnacentral:lncRNA from 1 species
AUAGACAAAUAAAAUUGAGAAUGGAAAUGGGGAAUGUGCCAAAGAGACAACCACCCGACCAUAGAAAAAAACAACAGCAGAAGGUCACCAACAGGUCUUCAAUGUAGCGAGAAAUUCCCGCACCCGGAGGCGUCCUUCAGCUGGCCCCUAAACAAAUAUAUACUAGUUCAGUGAUAAUGAACGCCAUACUAAACUCCAAAUUGUACACAAAAAACUAAAAUUAAAAUAAUACAAGAC